AGAUGGUGCUGCUACUGCGAGCGGCCUGCGCAGGCCUCUCACUUUUCCUCUGUUCCGCUGUUCCAUUGACGCUGUCACCUUCGAAAUAUGCCGAGAGCAUAAAUGCUCUAACGCAUCCCAAUGGCAGCCUUCAACGCGAGAAGAGGCAGCUCUCGGAAGUCGUGUACGCCCUGAGUUCGGGAGCCAGGCUCAUCAUUGGAGCUGGCGUGGGCUUGCUGCAGUCCGUUGGCAGAAUAGGAAAAGACGUGGUUGGGGAAAGUGACGGCGGUCUCCUAGGCUUGCUCAGUUCGCUCUUCACUGGCCUUAAUGUCAGCUUAGACCUAGUAAGAAAUGUUUUGCUGGCGGUGCUUGGAACCAAGGAUAUCCUUCUGGGCACGCCUUCAAAGGACGCGCUGACGGCGGAUCCUUAGGCCAACGGGAACUAAGGAGAAAGUGGGAAGCUGCUACGAAGACGUUGGAUGACGCCUACGCCGAAAGCGCUCACGCCAAUACCAGCCCAGAACGUGUCCUGUGGGGCCUGUGUUGUGUUAACCGCCCUUCGGUUUCUGUACAAAAUAAGAUAGCUCUCGCUGUUCUCUUUACAACUCCUAUUUCCCCGCCCCUGUGCAGGGUAGCAAACCGGUUACAAGAACCACGUUGACGUCCCCGCCUUUCCGUUUCAUCUCACACUUUCUAUCUCAAGCCAGAGCUUUUACUUAACAGCAAGGAUGUUUGAGCUAACGCACGAAAUCUUAAACGUUUCUCUUAGGCCUGCAGCCGAGACGAAAUCAAAGAUAAUGUGUUAUUAACAGCAUCUUUGUUGGUUUACAGUCAAAACGAGUUAUAGCGAAGUAUGAUACACAGAAAUUAUAAACUUAAAUAAGUAACCGUAAUUUCUUCUGAAAUUUUUACACCUAUGAGAAUCCACAGAACACAAUUAAAAUAUGGUUUUA